rnacentral:lncRNA from 1 species
GAGUGGCGGAGAGAGAAAGAAAAGACAAAGUCUCUUGUUACACCGUUCAUUUAGUUGUUUGCCUCCGAAUAUAGUGCUUUUUUGUUUUUUUUUAAACCUUUCCACCCAUUCAUUCUUUUGGUCAAAUUUAUAAUUAACGUAGUAGUUUCGCAAGGGUUUCUUCUCCUUCUCCUUAAUUCCUUGUUACUACCUUCUCAAUCUAGUCCUUAUUAGGCAUGGAUAUAAUAACCGAUAACCACACCCAAACUCUACCGGAAGUAAACAGCUCAG